GACAGAGGUGCCGAGCGUUAGGCGGAAUCACUGGGCUUAAAGCGUGUGUAGGCGGGUCGUUAAGUGUCUUGUGAAAUCCCACCGCUCAACGGUGGAACUGCUGGGCAUACUGGCGAUCUUGAGCCACCUAGGGGCAGACGGAACAAGCGGUGGAGCGGUGAAAUGCGUAGAUAUCGCCUGGAACGCCGACGGUGAAAACAGUCUGCUGGGGGUGUGCUGACGCUGAGACACGAAAGCCAGGGGAGCGAACGGG
rnacentral:rRNA from 1 species